GGACUACUGGGGUUUCUAAUCCUGUUUGAUACCCACGCUUUCGUGCUUCAGUGUCAGUUAUGCCUUAGUAAGCUGCCUACGCAAUCGGAGUUCUGCGUGAUCUCUAAGCAUUUCACCGCUACACCACGCAUUCCGCCUACUUCAUCCAUACUCAAGACCAACAGUUUCAACGGCAUUUUUAUCGUUAAGCGACCAAAAUUUCACCGCUGACUUAUCAGCCCACCUACGCACCCUUUAAACCCAAUAAAUCCGGAUAACGCUCGCAUCCUCCGUAUUACCGCGGCUGCUGGCAC
rnacentral:rRNA from 1 species